AGAGUUUGAUCCUGGCUCAGGAUGAACGCUAGCGGCAGGCCUAACACAUGCAAGCCGAGGGGUAACGAUGGACUUCGGUCCAGGCGACGACCGGCGCACGGGUGAGUAACGCGUAUGCAACCUACCUUGUACAGGGGGAUAGCCACCGGAAACGGUGAUUAAUACCCCAUAAUAUUAACGACUGGCAUCGGUUGUUGAGUAAAACUUCGGUGGUACAAGAUGGGCAUGCGUUCCAUUAGCUAGUUGGUAAGGUAACGGCUUACCAAGGCUACGAUGGUUAUGGGGUCUAAAAGGAUGGUCCCACACACUGGUACUGAGACACGGACCAGACUCCUACGGGAGGCAGCAGUGAGGAAUAUUGGUCAAUGGGUGAGAGCCUGAACCAGCCAUGCCGCGUGCAGGAAGACUGCCCUAUGGGUUGUAAACUGCUUUUAUACGGGAAGAACGUGCCCUACGUGUAGGGUAUUGCCUGUACCGUAAGAAUAAGCAUCGGCUAACUCCGUGCCAGCAGCCGCGGUAAUACGGAGGAUGCAAGCGUUAUCCGGAUUUAUUAGGUUUAAAGGGUGCGUAGGCGGGUGCCUAAGUCAGGGGUGAAAUCUUGUGGCUCAACCACGAAAUAGCCUUUGAUACUGGGUACCUUGAGUACAGAUGAGGUAGGCAAAUGUGUAAUGUAGCGGUGAAAUGCAUAGAUAUUACACAGAACACCGAUUGCGAAGGCAGCUUACUAAGUUGUAACUGACGCUGAUGCACGAAAGCGUGGGUAUCGAACAGGAUUAGAUACCCUGGUAGUCCACGCUGUAAACGAUGAUCACUGGCUGUAUGCGAUACAUUGUAUGUGGCUGAGCGAAAGCAUUAAGUGAUCCACCUGGGGAGUACGUUCGCAAUAAUGAAACUCAAAGGAAUUGACGGGGGCCCGCACAAGCGGUGGAACAUGUGGUUUAAUUCGAUGAUACGCGAGGAACCUUACCUGGGCUUAAAUGUAGCUUGACUUUAACCGAAAGGUUAUUUCCCUUCGGGGCAAGUUACAAGGUGCUGCAUGGCUGUCGUCAGCCCGUGCCGUGAGGUGUCGGGUUAAGUCCCAUAACGAGCGCAACCCCUAUCCUUAGUUGCCAGCGGGUCAUGCCGGGGACUCUAAGGAGACUGCCACCGUAAGGUGAGAGGAAGGUGGGGAUGACGUCAAGUCAGCACGGCCCUUACGUCCAGGGCUACACACGUGUUACAAUGGCCGGUACAGAGGGAAGCUACUGUGUGAGCAGGUGCCAAUCUCCAAAACCGGUCUUAGUUCGGAUUGAAGUCUGCAACUCGACUUCAUGAAGUUGGAAUCGCUAGUAAUCGCGUAUCAGCAACGACGCGGUGAAUACGUUCCCGGGCCUUGUACACACCGCCCGUCAAGCCAUGGGAGCCGGGGGUACCUGAAGUCUGUCACCGCAAGGAACGGCCUAGGGUAAAACUGGUGACUGGGGCUAAGUCGUAACAAGGUA
rnacentral:rRNA from 1 species